AAAGAUUAUUCAAAGAAAAGCUAAUUCUCUUUUAACAAUUUAAGAAAAUAAAUUUUAGAUCUUUUUAGGAAUUUAUUUACUAAUUCGAUUUGAUUUAAGCAAUACAAGCUGUCAAUAAGAUGGCAAAUUUCAAGUAUAGCAUGCUUUUGGGUCCUAGACUACACGGGCAAUAGCAUAAUAGUAGCUACGCACGAACUCUCGUCACUUCGUGCGUACGUAGCCCCCACAAUUAGGAGC
rnacentral:lncRNA from 1 species